UUUACACUAGAUUAGAUGGUUUCAAGAGAUUAGACGUUACCCCAUUAGUUGCGUGUACAGGGAUUGAUUCCAUCAGUUACCGUAGCCACCAUCAGUUAGAUUAGAUGAUACUCGAUUACAUGGUUUCGGGAGAGAGACGUGUUGAUCAUACUUGCUUGAAUCACGAAUUCACGCUCUUCUUUGCACUGUCAGCAUGCAAUUACAAUUUAUUCAUAUUCCUCAAUGCACAUAUAUAGAAUGCCGUAUGCAACACUUUCUUUAGAUGGUUUCAACAGGCAAACGGCUCGAUCAUACUUGAUUAAUUCAGGAACUGAUGUCCUUCUCGGCACAGUCAUCAUGCAGUUAUGAUUUAUUCAUAUUCCUCAAUGCACGGGGAAUGCCCAAACCAACACUUUUUAUGGGAAUGAAUGUUUCCCUCAGUUAUGUUAUAUUUACUAGUCACGGAAGGUGGAUUCUUAUAAAACAAGUUGUAGAAGGUGCAUACUGUUUGUCUGUUGCCCAGUUGUGACCUUUAGUUUCUUUUCAUCGGUGACCAGAGAGCCUUGCAAGAUGACUUGUCGAGGAGGAUGUCUUCAUACCCUGCCAGGUCACCUUCUUGUGUGCACGGCGAAUCUCGGCUGCAGCUGGCAAAAAUGCCAACCAACCUAUCCACCGCUGGAGCCCCUCUCUUCCGGAUAGCAGGGUUGGUGCUCAUUAUUAUUCAUAUGAACCUCUUUGGUGGGUCGACAUGAGAACAACAAGGCGUAUACAUGAAUCCGAGGAGCCCACGUUGCGAUUCAGCUCAUCUCCAGUUCAUGGGGUUGGUGCUGAUUGACGCUGACUUGGCGGCGUUUGAGGUUGAGUACAGCAACUGGGUGGACAAAAAGACCUCAACCGGUUGACUGCAGAACAACAACAUCAAUGGGCUAAUCCCAGCAGCAGCCUUGGCAAGCUAACAAAGAUUAGGAUGCUUCACUUCUCCGGUGAAAUCCCCAGCUUCUAACAGGAGGCAAACCUAGCCGCAACACAGAGCAACCUUGUUGCUGGGCGUACCAUGGUGAGGAAAGUUUGGUCGACACCUUUUCUUCUUUGGUUCUGGUAUAGAUGCAGAUUCAUGGCAGUGAGAGAUUGAUGAUGCUGAGGUCGUUACCCCCAAAAUUAGCAAGACGCGGAAGGGCUGAGAUGUGGAAGCAUUAUGUUGUGUAAAAAGACAAGAUGAGUCAGAUUUGUGUUUUUCUUUGUUGGUUGGUGGAUGUGUAAGUGUUCUUGUACACAAGAUAAAAUGGCUUUGGUUUCAUGGCUGGUAGGAGGCGUUGAAGCCAUGAGACCUCAAGUGUUGAAUACUGAUGUUUGUCACCUUGUUUAUGGGAAUGUUGUUCCCAACCACUAAAAAAAAGCAAUGAAGUCUUGAGGUAUUGCGAGCAA